UUUGCCUACGGGACGCAGCAGUGAGGAACAUUGGUCAAUGGGCGGGAGCCUGAACCAGCCAAGCCGCGUGAGGGAAGAAGGUACAGCGUAUCGUAAACCUCUUUUGUCAGGGAACAAAGGCGGGGACUAGUCCCCGGAUGAGGGUACCUGAAGAAAAAGCAUCGGCUAACUCCGUGCCAGCAGCCGCGGUAAUACGGAGGAUGCGGGCGUUAUCCGGAUUUAUUGGGUUUAAAGGGUGCGCAGGCGGCGUGUUAAGUCAGCGGUAAAAGCCCGGGGCUCAACCCCGGCGAGCCGUUGAAACUGGG
rnacentral:rRNA from 1 species